rnacentral:rRNA from 1 species
GUCGAACGAGAAGGUGUAGCAAUACACUUGUAAAGUGGCGAACGGGUGAGGAAUACAUGGGUGACCUACCCUCGAGUGGGGAAUAACCAGCCGAAAGGUUGGCUAAUACCGCAUACGAUUCCCGGUUUGCGGAUCGGGAAGGAAAGCGAUGCUGUGAGUAUCGCGCUCAAGGAUGGGCUCAUGUCCUAUCAGCUUGUUGGUGAGGUAACGGCUCACCAAGGCUUCGACGGGUAGCUGGUCUGAGAGGACGAUCAGCCACACUGGCACUGCGACACGGGCCAGACUCCUACGGGAGGCAGCAGUAAGGAAUAUUGCGCAAUGGGCGAAAGCCUGACGCAGCGACGCCGCGUGGGGGAUGAAGGUCUUCGGAUUGUAAACCCCUUUCGGGAGGGAAGAUGGAAUGGGUAACCAUUCGGACGGUACCUCCAGAAGCAGCCACGGCUAACUUCGUGCCAGCAGCCGCGGUAAUACGAAGGUGGCAAGCGUUGUUCGGAUUCACUGGGCGUACAGGGAGCGUAGGCGGUUGGGUAAGCCCUCCGUGAAAUCUCCGGGCCCAACCCGGAAAGUGCAGAGGGGACUGCUCG